rnacentral:tRNA from 2 species
AAAAAGAUAAGCUAAUUAAGCUACUGGGCUCAUACCCCAUCAAUAAAGGUUCUAAUCCUUUUCUUUUUA